rnacentral:tRNA from 1 species
UAGAUUGAAAUCCGUUGGAUUGGAUGCUUAAUUGUUAACUAAGAGUUUACAGGAUCGAGGCCUGUCUGUCUAG